UUUUUGUGAAUACCCACAAAUUGAUUUCUUCCAUAGCCUAUUUACCUUGGUCGCUCUUAUCUUCAUAUUCUUCGGAUACCAAAACCCUAGAAGGGGAAAAUUUCUAAUCUGCUGUUAAUAGAACCUCCAUCUUCGGUGUCAAGCAAGAUUUCAUCGAUAAAUGAAAGGAACUAAGCAGCUCGGUGUAUUAGAAUCUAGAACUUGCAUGCUAUAUGGGCAUAGAGCUUGGAAAGGUUGACAUAAAAUGUUUUGGUGAUGGAGAGAUAUAUGUCCAAUUGUGCGAGAGCGAUAAGAGGGUUUGAUAAUGAUAAAUUCCUGUCGCAAAGCAUCUGCUAAAACCAUUACUGCGGUUAGCCACCGUGGCAUUUUCAAGACCAGAUAAUUUGAAUAAUUGUAUUUGCAUAAACAUCAAACAACUGAAGCAACCGGAUGCAAACCUAAGCAGAGCACUACGUUUAGUCUUUUAAUUUUGACACAUGUUUCCAUAAUUCAACCGAAUUUACUGCAAACCUUAACCCAUUGUUUAAUUUUUUACUUCUAUCUUGAUAUAAUGACAAAUAAUGGCAGUUAGCUUGUGUUUGUUUAUUAUUGAACAUAAAUGUCUUCAUCGGAUCCAUCUUUCUUCAGAUUUACUAGACCUUACUUUAAGUUGACAUUUGCAUAUAGGAAGUAUAUGUUAAUGUAUUGGAAAAUGAGGAAAGCGAAUGACUAGCUACAACAUACUUAAAACAAAAAUAAAGAACGAAUAAUCUCUACAACAAAACUUAGCUUAACUGACACAUAGUACCAGAUUAUUUAUUACUGCUAAAAGUUGUGUAAUAGACUGUGUGGUUAUGGUUGUUAAACAUGCAACUUAUAUUUAUUCUCUUUCAUUGAUGGUUCAGACUCAAGGGCGAGAAUCUAUUGCAUGUAAACCGAAGCAGGAGCAGAUCGAGUUCUUGCUUGUGUUCUUCAUUUAGGGCAAUCGAUGUGCUAUUUUGACCUUCCAGUUGAUCAUGUUCAUGGUCAGUGGGUGUGAAAUGACAAAAAUACCCUUUCCUUUAAAAGGCCAAACCACAGGGACUAUCCGGGCAUCUUCUACAUUUUUAGAGAAAAAAAAACCCCACCACCACACUUUCCGGCGAACUUUUCCGGCGAAAUUACUUUCCGGCGACUUUAAAUCUUGAACGCGAGUUAUUCCGGCACCGCCGCCUUUCCGGUGAACUGACUUCGACCACAAAUACAAAAGUGUUGAUUUCUCGUUCCCUUCGUUACCAGAUGAAAACGAUGACAUGACUGAUCAACAUAAUUCUCAACUCAGGUUUCAGUUAAUAAGAGUGCAAGCAAGAGGCUAUGGGAAAAUUGCAAAUGGCUUGAAAUGUUCGAAGGUGUUCGUGUUGUCAUCUUCUGUGUUUCGUUGAGUGAUUUUGAUGAGUAUGCCAUUGAUGUAGAUGGGAAUUUAGUCAACAAAAUGUUGCUAAAUAAGAAGUUUUCCACAAGCAUUGUGACACACCCGACUUAUGAUCAAAUGGAGUUUCUUCUGGUACUAAACAAAUUCGAUGUGUUUGAGGAGAAACUCGAACGGGUUCCUUUAACUUGCUGUGAUUGGUUCAGCGACUUCCAGCCGAUAGUUAGCCGAAACAGCCAGAAUAAAAACAUUAGCAGCAACAACAUUAAUCAUAGCCCUUCAAUGGGACUAAUGGCUUCACAUUACGUCGCUGUGCAGUUCAAGAAGCUAUCGAUCACUGAGCGUAAGCUAUUUGUUUCAGUGGUUAAGGGAUUGGAACAAAACAGUGUGGAUCAAACACUCGAGUAUGCAAAGGAGGUACUUAUCUGGGAUGAAGAAAAACCUACCUUUAACUUCAAUGAAUACGCAAUUUAUAGCACGGAUACAGGUUCUAAUUCCGAAUGAUCAUCCUCGGAUUAAAAAGGAGUAAGACAACAUUGUACAGAAAGACGAGAACAACCAUGUGUUUUUUUCAUCAAUUUAGUUUGAUUUGUAGGCGAUUGGUUGGUUUAGUUGUAUUAUAUGAUUUCAAAACGAUUCGGAUUGAUUUAGAUAAUACCAAUGUAUGUAACCCGUAUUGUUUGUUUGUAUGACUAGCAAGUGAAAUCUUGAUCAACAAAUACUUUAAUAGUA
rnacentral:lncRNA from 1 species